rnacentral:tRNA from 1 species
GAGGGUAUAGCUCAGUGGUAGAGUGUGUGCUUAGCAUGCAUGAGGUCCUGGGUUCAAUCCCUAGUACUUCUA